GAAGGGAUCACGCAGAGC
rnacentral:misc_RNA from 1 species